rnacentral:rRNA from 1 species
UAAACUCUCGCCGGGAACUACAAAUAUCCAUUUAAAACUCAAAGAUCUUGGCGGUGCCUUAAACACUCAGGGAAACCUGUCCCUUAAUUCGAUAAUCCACGAGUGUGUGAACCCCCCUCGAAUCUCAGCCUGUGUACUGCCGUCAUAAGUAUGCCUCCAAGAGUGAGCAUGCAAGAAUAAUUAAUACUUAAGUCAGGUCAAAGUGCAGCCCAUGGGGGGUCGGAGAUGGGUUACACUCCUAAAACGGACACCAAAAUUCUCCACUUGAAAAAAGAAAGAAAAGUUGGACUUGAAAGUAAUAAUUUCAACUAAAAUAUUAUGAAAAGGAGCCUAAGACAUGUACAUAUCGCCCGUCACUCUCACCGAAAGGCG